UGUGUGGGAGAGGAGGAAACAGGUGAAAACAAGAUGAAGAAGGACGCUAAUUGGUGGGCUGGCAGGUGGUUUAAAGGGAAGGUGUGUGUGUGGGGGGGGGAGGGGAAGGAGUAGCUGCCAUGCCUCCCCUCUCACACACCCCACCCCUCCUCCUCCUCCUCCUCUUCUAGUCUUCACGUAAUUUAAAGAACACCUCCCCUGAGAGUGCCUGUCCCAAACAACUCUACGGUACUCAUCGCCUCGCCUCACCUUCCCUCGCCUCCCCUUGCCUCUCAGGGCUGACGAAGCCGACGACGAUGCCUGAGGAGUCUUAUCUGUGCUUCAUGAGUUCUUUUUCAGUUCACACAGCCGACAGACGGACAGACUCACUCACGGCACAGACAGGU